UACGAAGGGGGCUAGCGUUGUUCGGAAUUACUGGGCGUAAAGCGCGCGCAGGCGGUCUUCCAAGUCAGUGGUGAAAGCCCGGAGCUCAACUCCGGAACUGCCAUUGAAACUGUAGACUUGAGGAUGAGAGAGGUGAGUGGAAUUCCCAGUGUAGAGGUGAAAUUCGUAGAUAUUGGGAAGAACACCGGUGGCGAAGGCGGCUCACUGGCUCAUUACUGACGCUCAGGCGCGAUAGCGUGG
rnacentral:rRNA from 1 species